ACCCAUCGUGGGCAUUUGUAUGCUAUUUUCUUUAGAGAGGGGGAGAAGCAUUACAUUUUUUUUUUUAAAUGUCCUGACACCUUUGCUUGCUUCAGUAUCAGCGCUGCAGCUCGCGAGGCACACAAUGCCUUGCGCGCGCGCAUGAUAAGAACUGAAACUAUUCAUUGACAUUAUGGCAGGGCUAUUUUGAAAACAUUAUCUCAUUUCAUUUCCUAGAACAUCAUCAAGUCUCUGCAGCAUCAGUUUCUUUAAAGAGAAGGGCUAUUUUUGUUCCAACGGAAGCCAAAAUAUUUGAGCAAAUUUUGCCCCCAGUUCCGCUAGCUUCCUUCCCCUACGUUGUGGCUCACACUGGCGCUUUUUAGCAAGCUCUCUUGAGGCAGAAUCAGCGUAGUGCAAGGAUUUGAAGUCAUCGGCCAUCCCGACUCUUUAUGCAGGGUCUGCACCUGGAUUGCUGCUCUGAGAAGACUGAGUAUGUAGCGUGUGUUGAGAAUGAAGAGAUGUUCUAGUUUGUAGGGCGUGCUGAAAGUUAAGGUAGAAAUUAGAAUUCUAAACAAAUGUUUGCCCUGGAUGUAAUAAUACUGAGGUGACAACUUACACAAUAGACUCUCCCUCCACUUCCACGAACUAUCUUUCACUCCGUUGCUUUUUGAAGCUGUCAACAGAUCAUUUUGAAAAUCCUUUAGGAGUGUAUCAGAAAGGUGUGAGGACGUUCUAAAAUUGUUGAUGGAGAUAGAAGGGAAUUUUACAGACCCAGGAUGUCCUUAGAAUUGGGUUGCAUAGAUGGACGGAGUCUGUGAUACCCCUGAGAGAUGUGGUACCGGAAAAAUGUACAGAGAUGUCCUGAUAUCAGUGGGAUCACCUGGGGUACAGCUCACACACUGCAAGGCUUCCUCUGAUUUCCGCUUCUUUUUACAAUUCCCAGUUAUCCACAAAACUUAGUUUGAAUCUUUCCUCAGACACCCCGCCUACCGGAAGUGAUGGAAGCACGUAACCGGAAGGAGAUUAGAGCUAACGUUACAGCCAAAGGCCAGAUAAAGCUGUUACCCGAUAGUGAAUGUGUGAUGGCCAGUCGGGUAGUAAAUAGGCGCGUCUCCUGCUGAUGGGCACUUAGGAUACCCGCCCAUUGGAAGCUGAUUUUGCCGGGAAUAUUAUUUGUGUGGAAUCUGAAAUUAUAGUGGAAAUUUCCACGAUAACGCAAGGAUCUGUCUUCAGGUCAACAGGUUGAUAUUUGAUGUGUCAAGGACAAAGACGUGCAGGAAGGAAGGUCGCAGCUUACUGUCGAUCUCCACCUCGAGCAAGCCUCAGGACAUCUCUGAACAUUUAUUUGAGACCCCCUUUGACUAUAGGAUCGGUCCUCACGGCUCCUCUGUUAAGACCUAAGAGGGAACCGAAGCUGACAGGUCACAGUGGGAGGAAUUUAUCUCAGGCUGGACCUCAGAGAGAGGGUGCCCGGUUUCCUGUCUUCUCUCCCUGGCGUCUCAGAGAUAUCUCAAGACCUUUGGACUCUGAGUGUUGCUGACAGAGAUAGUGAGUGGGAAAGGAAAAAGGAGGCGGUCUAAUGAGGUGGAUGGGCUCUUUUUUCUGGUUUUCCCCAGAUGCAGAAGCUGGUGUGAGGGAGCGGGGCUGCCUCCCAGGUCUCAGCUGUUAAUCUGAUGGAAUGUCUCAGCCUCUUCAUUUCCUGUCAUCUUUCCAUUUAAUCAUUAACCCCAGCUGCUCAGGACCAGGCAGGGCCAGGAGAUAAGCAAGCCGGUCCCCGAGAGAGUCCACAGGCAUGAUUUGACAGGAUAAUGCCCUCACUUGAUAAAAGGAGAGACUCUCUGUCAGCUGCCCGCAUCCUCCCUGAAGCUCUGGAAUCUGACUUCAUGGAGCAUUUGAGCAGCUAAGCUUUUCCUGACCCCCUCCCUCCCACCACCACUCCCGCCUUCCCCCAGUUGCUGAGCAUAAUUGAGAAUUAAUUGCAUGUCUGCUUAUUAUUUUGCUUACUUAAUUUGGUCUAAACGUUGUUCACACUCCAGACUUAAGGCCUGGAAGUGGCUGUCUUCAGGGACCAUUUCUGAGCUCAGCAAACCUUCCCAGCAGGACCUGAUCUCUCCAAGACAGGCGCUCCAGUGGAUCUGAGUUAGAUCGGUGUAUAGAUCAGGGUUCCUAAGAAGCAAUGGACAAAGACCCAGAGUCUGUGCUGGGGGCCUUGGAAGGCUCUAAACCCUGAGCAGCAGUUUACAGAAGAGGCGAACAAUAUGGAUAUGGAGACAAUCUCUGAGGAGACUUGGGAGUGCUCUCCUGUAGGAUCCAAGACUUCUCAUCUUUCCGAUGCGAACUGAAUUAUGCUAGCAUGUCAACCAGGACAUUUCAGAGAAGCAUCGGACAGAAACGUGUUAGUAAACCUCUUACCAGAACACCCUCACUAUCGAUUUUUUUUUGUCACUAAAACACAAACCAGCAUGGGACAUUAAACAGGACCUUUGGUAUUUGGUGUUGGGAAAAUGCCCCCUUGGAUCUAGAGCUCUUUAGGAGUAAUGGCUUCCCGAAAAGAACUAUAGAGAAAAAGAAGGCAGAAUAACCCAGGUGCCUGAGCAUCUUUGAGGAGGCCCCGAUGUGACUACCUGAAACCAGUCUAUGUCAGCACUUCUUGCUACCUGAGAUAUACAUUAUUCAUGGUUUAAGCCAUUCUGAGUCAGGACUUUUUUUUUAUUGAAACUCGGAGCUGGAAAUAGCCAAGUUUACCCACCAAGAAUAACAUCUGGAUUAUGAACCCUGGAAAUAUAACCACUGUCAUUUUGUGUCCCUGGACUAUAUUAAGCUCUACCACAUGGUUUCCAACUUGAGAGUCACUUGGGUUGUCUGUACAGGUGUAUGAGGAAAAGAAAAUCUUAUUUAUGAAUGGAGUGUGGUGAUACACCCUAUCCCGAGCUUUUGUCCCCACCAGCAAGAACAUGCUCAGGACAACCGGAAUCUUCUGCGGCAAAAGCUUUAUUGCUUACUUCUUUAGGAACAAGAGGAGAAGAAUAGGGGCGAAUGGCAAAACCCUGUCCCUUUUAUGGAGGAUUGUCCUCCGCCUCGGACAUGUCGCUCCCUGAUUGGCUGCAGCCCAUCAACCGAGUUGUCGUCAAGGGGAAGGCAGAGCACAUGGAGUGGAGAACUACCCCGGCACAUGCGCAGAUUAUUUGUUUACUACUUAGAACACAGGAUGUCGGCGCCAUCUUGUAAUGGUGAAUGUGAGGGUGGCUCCUCACAACAUCCCUUUAAUCCCAGUACUGAAGGCAGAGGCAGGUGGAUUUCUGAGUCUGAAGACAGCCUGGUAUAGAGAGCUAGUUCCAGGGCUAUACAAGAAGACUCUGUCUUGCAAAAAAUGAAACAAAACAAAAUAAAACAAAUGAAUAAACAAAAAGAAAGAAGCUUCAAUUUUUAUAAAAUAAAAACUAAUUUAC
rnacentral:lncRNA from 1 species